UUCGUAGGUGGCCAACUAAGUCAUACGUGAAAUCCCUCAGCUUAACUGGGGAACUGCGUCUGAUACUGGUUGGCUUGAGUGCAGGAGAGGAACGCGGAAUUCCAGGUGUAGCGGUGAAAUGCGUAGAUAUCUGGAGGAAUACCGGUGGCGAAGGCGGCGUUCUGGACUGCAACUGACACUGAGGAACGAAAGCCAGGGAGGCAAACG
rnacentral:rRNA from 1 species